UCCUGACUGACCGAUAGUGAACCAGUACCGUGAGGGAAAGGCGAAAAGAACCCCGGCGAGGGGAGUGAAAAAGAACCUGAAACCGUGUACGUACAAGCAGUGGGAGCACGCUUAGGCGUGUGACUGCGUACCUUUUGUAUAAUGGGUCAGCGACUUAUAUUCUGUAGCAAGGUUAACCGAAUAGGGGAGCCGAAGGGAAACCGAGUCUUAACUGGGCGUUAAGUUGCAGGGUAUAGACCCGAAACCCGGUGAUCUAGCCAUGGGCAGGUUGAAGGUUGGGUAACACUAACUGGAGGACCGAACCGACUAAUGUUGAAAAAUUAGCGGAUGACUUGUGGCUGGGGGUGAAAGGCCAAUCAAACCGGGAGAUAGCUGGUUCUCCCCGAAAGCUAUUUAGGUAGCGCCUCGUGAAUUCAUCUCCGGGGGUAGAGCACUGUUUCGGCAAGGGGGUCAUCCCGACUUACCAACCCGAUGCA
rnacentral:rRNA from 1 species